UGUAAAUCAGAUCCUAAAUAUCCCUUUAAAAAGAAGUAAGAAAGAGAGGGAGGGAGAAAGAGUCCUUAAACCACAAAGUUUGGUUUGGGGGUGUUUUGUUUUAUUUUCCAAACAAGUUACGGAGGAGCGGGGAGGAAACCUGGAAUCAGCCCGGUGGGUAUUUCCCCCAAGCCCAGGAGCCUGGAGCACACCGUCUGCCCCCAAGCUGCUCAGCUCCCUGGAGAGAUGGCAGGAGGAUGUAUUAAGUAUUGCAACCUAAUACUCAGAAAAACACAAAACCCGGUUCCACGCGGUGCUUUAGUGGCUAAAAGUGAAAGAGCUGCCUUGGCAGAAUUGAGCUCUAUGAAUCACUUCGGAAAAUUGGUUCGACUGAAUGGCCUUAGGAGGAAAAACGUUUUAAUAGGAUCCAGGGGAGGUUCUGCUGUUUCAAUCUGCUCCUUAAACAGGUGGAGAUUGGACCUUCUCAAUUAUACAAACACUGAAUGUAAAAGACAGUGA
rnacentral:lncRNA from 1 species